GGUAAGAGCGGAGGAUGUUCUUUCCCCAACCUCCCCACACUCACUGGAGGCGGGAAGCAGAGCGCCGCGGCUGGGAGCUGGCGGAGUGGAGCGGGCUGGGGCCACGUUGCUCCGCUUUCCGCCGCUGCCGAAAAAUAUCUGACCCAUGGCUACCCAACUGCCAUCUCCAGGAACAUCACAACUAUCAAGGAAGCCAUAUUCAGAUGGCAUAUCCUUGGGGGUCAUUGAAACAAUAAGACUGAGUGCAGUAUGCUACCAAGCUCCUACUGGGAAAGAAGUGCAGGAGAUCAACUCCUGCUUACUCUGAGCACCGAAUUCAUUGCAAAGAUUCACACAGUGAUGGGGGUGGAGGCUGUAGAGCAAUAAAAUGUAUUUCCAUUUUUUGGAAACACCGACACUGCCCUUCAGCUGAAGCCUGCUCCAUGCUGAGCAGCCUCAGUUCUCCCUGACUUCAGUGUGAGUUGAGAGCACUUAGCACCACACAGGAUCACAUCUUCUAUGUCUAACAUACACGUAUGACCCCAUUUCAUUGACGGUUACUAUCACCUUUUGCCCCCUUUGAAUCAGCAGUGGGACUUCUCUGGCACUGAUUUGAAUAAAAACCACAGCCUUGUUCCUCAGAUGUUCUUGUCAACUGCUGGAAAUGGCCCACCUUGAUUAUCACUACAAAAGAUCCCCCCCCGCCCCCGCUCUCCUGCUGGUAACAACUCACCUUAAGUGAUCACUCUCGUUACAGUGUGUAUGGUAACACCCAUUGUUUCAUGUU